GCUUGGCCCUAAAUCUAGAUGUUCCCCCUACCAAAACAUCCGCCCGAGAACUACGAGCACAAACGCUUAAAACUCUAAGGACUUGGCGGUGCUCCAAACCCACCUAGAGGAGCCUGUUCUGUAAUCGAUAACCCACGAUACACUCAACCCCUCCUUGCCCAAAGCAGCCUACAUACCGCCGUCCCCAGCUCACCUUCUCUGAGAGCCCAACAGUGAGCACAACAACGCCCCCGCUAAUAAGACAGGUCAAGGUAUAGCCUAUGGAGUGGAAGAAAUGGGCUACAUUUUCUAAAAUAGAAAACCGACGAAAAGGGGCUUGAAACAACCCCUAGAAGGAGGAUUUAGCAGUAAAGGGGGAUAAGAAUGCCCCCUUAAACUUGGCCCUGGAGCACGUACAUACCGCCCGUCACCCUCUUCACAACUGCUAAGCACCCGUAAUUUAACCCAAGCCAAAAAAGUUAAAAGAUGAGGUAAGUCGUAACAAGGUAAGUGUACCGGAAGGUGCACUUAGCACCAAGGCGUAGCUAUAAUACCA
rnacentral:rRNA from 1 species